AGAUGGAUAGAGAGAGACAUAUGUGGAGAGCAAGAGAGAAAGAUGGGACUCAAAUAAGAAGAGAGAGAGAGGGCAAAAGACAUGGAUAGAAGAAGACAGAGAUGGGGAUAGGGAGAGAGAUGGAAAGAGACCCAAAAUGGGAAGAGAGAUGGAAAAAUAUGUGGAUAGAGAGAGACAAAAAAGGAAAGAAGAAGAGAGAGAUAAAAAGACUUAAACAGAAUGAAAGACAGGGCGAAAGACAUGAAGAAAAAGAGCUAAUAGAUUAAAAAUAAUCAUAAUAUGUAAGUGCUAAUUGCGAAUUUAGGAGCUUGGAAAAUUGUUAGUGGACUAUGAGUCUUUUGCUGAAAUAGAAAAACGGUAUGGGUCGGAAAUCAGUAGUUCUCUCUCUUCACUCCUUUCUAUCCUGCUCUUGAGCUCUCCUAUGGUUCUAAACGCUGAAGGAUUAUAGAGGUGGCAAAUGUGAAGGCUCCAGAUAUUUCAAUGGUUCGUGUAUUGGCGAAUUUGGAUAUGAAAGCUUGUAAAGAUAAGUGCUUGAGGAACUAUUCAUGCCUUGCACACGCAAAUCUGGGUGUGAUAAAAGGAAAUGGGUGUUUGACAUGAAUGGUGAUUUGGUAGAUACAAGAGUAUUUACAGUAGGGGGACAAAACUUAUAUGCGCGACUGGAUGCAAUUAUCAGUAGAAAUUUGGGAUUUUUCCGUUAUUUUUGUCAAUUAAUUGUGUUUAAAUGAGCAUUUCACUCACUUUCUCACCCCACCAUCUUUCAGGAGCUUGCUCUAUGGCUAACUGUUUAGAUGUGGCUGUUUACUACACUAAUAGCUGCGGUUUUUCUUUUCUUUUCUUCCUUUUCAGCUCAAUAUGCAAAUAAUUCCAAACACCUUCUUGCAAAGAAAGGGAUACUGCUAGUUAUGAUACUAUCCUUGGCUGCAGGAAUUUCCUCUUUCGUUCUUUCUCAUACUGGUUGGUAAAAAGGCAGAGGAGAUUAUAUGAUACUACCAAUGUGUCUGCUGUAUAAAGCUCUAAUGCUCUAGGCAGAGAUGCUGCCAUCGGAAAAGGAGUCCUCUUUGCCAUAGAAGCCUUGCUUAAUGAGCAUGGUAUGUCAAUAUCUGGACAACGGCUUGUCAUACAAGUUCACUUUCUAGACUGUAUCGGCUUCUUUGGUCAAUCCAGUAUAGGAAGGUGCACAAAGAGGAUUUUGGCAUUUAAAAUUAUGAAGCGUUGAAGACGAGUGCCUGCCUACAUAGGACUCUUAAGCCCUUUAUGUAAGUGAAAAAUAAGCAUUAAAAUUAUCUAAUUGUACGCAAUUAGGAAUUAAUUGUUGUUCUUGAUUAGGAAUGAUUAUUACAUGUUUGUAGACUUAUGCUUCAAAGAAUUUGGUGAUAGGUUAUUUAAGAUUUUGGAAUUAUUUUUGUAAUAUCAUUACCAUGUUAAGUAAACUACUAUUUUCUA